rnacentral:rRNA from 1 species
GACGAACGCUGGCGGCGUGCUUAACACAUGCAAGUCGAACGAAGUGGCGAACGGGUGAGUAACACGUGAGAAACCUGCCUUUCACAAAGGGAUAGCCUCGGGAAACCGGGAUUAAUACCUUAUGGUGAAAGAUGGUCUCGCGUCUGAUUAGCUAGUUGGUGGGGUAAAGGCCUACCAAGGCGAUGAUAAGUAGCCGGAUUGAGAGGUUGAACGGCCACACUGGAACUGAGACACGGUCCAGACGCCUACGGGAGGCAGCAGUGGGGAAUUUUGCACAAUGGGGGAAACCCUGAUGCAGCGACGCCGCGUGUACGAUGAAGAUCUUCGGAUUGUAAAGUACUGUCCUUGGUGAAGCUGUAACCAAGAAGCAAGCCCUGGCUAAAUACGUGCCAGCAGCCGCGGUAAUUC